rnacentral:rRNA from 1 species
GACGAACGCUGGCGGCGUGCUUAACACAUGCAAGUCGAACGAAGAGCGACGGAAGCUUGCUUCUAUCAAUCUUAGUGGCGAACGGGUGAGUAACGCGUAAUCAACCUGCCCUUCAGAGGGGGACAACAGUUGGAAACGACUGCUAAUACCGCAUACGAUCUAACCUCGGCAUCGAGGAUAGAUGAAAGGUGGCCUCUACAUGUAAGCUAUCACUGAAGGAGGGGAUUGCGUCUGAUUAGCUAGUUGGAGGGGUAACGGCCCACCAAGGCGAUGAUCAGUAGCCGGUCUGAGAGGAUGAACGGCCACAUUGGGACUGAGACACGACCCAGACUCCUACGGGAGGCAGCAGUGGGGAAUCUUCCGCAAUGGACGAAAGUCUGACGGAGCAACGCCGCGUGAGUGAUGACGGCCUUCGGGUUGUAAAGCUCUGUUAAUCGGGACGAAAGGCCUUCUUGCGAAUAGGGAGAAGGAUUGACGGUACCGGAAGAGAAAGCCACGGCUAACUACGUG